UACGGAGGGUGCAAGCGUUGUCCGGAAUCACUGGGCGUAAAGGGCGCGUAGGCGGCUCGGUAAGUAGGGGGUGAAAUCCUGCGGCUUAACCGCAGGGCUGCCUUCUAAACUGUCGAGCUCGAGCAUCGGUAGAGGCAGAUGGAAUUCCCGGUGUAGCGGUGGAAUGCGUAGAGAUCGGGAAGAACAUCAGUGGCGAAGGCGGUCUGCUGGGCCGUUGCCUGACGCUGAGGCGCGACAGCGUGGGGAGCAAACAGG
rnacentral:rRNA from 1 species